AGCCAAUCUAACAGGGUCAGCUGGCCCCACCUUUCCUAGCACUGAGGCCUUGGCUCCAGACAAUAGUUGUUUAUUACAACAGAGAGGUUGGGGAGGCCACUCGGGACCUUGGCAUGGAAUGGAGAGGGAUAUCUGCCCUGAGUCUAGAGAGAAGUCUCAGGCUGCCAAUGAGCAGCCAAUGCCCCCUGCCUGCCCGUGUGUGUGUGUGAGUUUUCAUGUGCACACGUUGCUGGGGAUGGGACCCGGGGCUUGUGCAUGCCGGCAAGUACCGUACCACUGAGCUACAUUUCCAGCCCUCUCCUCUUCAAGCCUUCCCUCAGUCCCUUUUUAAGUGAACCUUUGGCCAAAAAGGAAAUGAAAGGCAGCCAGGACUGAGAAUAAGUACUUUAGGCCCUUUUUUGCAGAGGGCAUAACCCCAGUUGGGGCAGAAGUCAUGAGUUCAUGACCCAGUUCUGACCUCCCAGGUGUGGGACUUCUGAGGCAGCAGGGAGGCUGGAGUCUGGCCCCUCCCGUCUUUAACCUGUGAGGACCUGGAACACUAAUGCUCUUCUUCUGUGAGGCCCCGUGUUGGCUCCUGGAAUGCAGUAUUCAUUUGAUGAAGAAACAGUCAGAUUAUUAUUUCUGUGGUGCUGGGAUGGCACUCAGGGCCUCCUGCGAGCGAGGCAAGUGCUCUACCACUUCCCUACAUCCCAGGUGCCCUCGGGCUUUAGAGGCUCUCUACUGGCCAGAUCCUCUGGGAGGAAAAGUUCAUGAGCCCCUUGCCUGGGGCUGGCUGGAGGCUUAUCUAUGUUCUAAAUGAACUCCUCAAGCCACUUGUGACCACCUGCAUGUCAGCAGCUCCAGAAUCACUCUCAAUGUGGGCGUCCCAUGUCCUGUCCCCUACUUGCCAGUGCCC
rnacentral:lncRNA from 1 species